UUAAGUUCAGCGGGUAUCCCUACCUGAUCCGAGGUCAACCUGGUGAAAGAUUUAACGGCCGCGGCCGCCCGUACUCCCAAGCGAUUAAUGAAAUCACAACGCUCGGAGACGGACGGUUCGGCCGGAGACUUUGAGGCGCGCGGAUCGACCGCGGCGCCCAAUACCAAGCGAGGCUUGAGUGGUGAAAUGACGCUCGAACA
rnacentral:misc_RNA from 1 species